rnacentral:lncRNA from 1 species
UAAAUAAAGAAUAAUAAUUUAGUAUUUACCAUCGAUUACCGUGUUUUUAUUAAUUUUUGUUUAAAAAAUCUAUGAACAAUGAGCUCGAAAGUUAAAAGUGGCUCUAAAAAACAGCAAUUGAAAGAAAAAGAAUUACUUGUAAAAGCAGGAACUCAUCCAAAGCAAAAAAACUAUGGUCCUUCGUAAAAAACAUUGAUGAUGUUGAAGUAGCUACCACCUACAUAUUUUUACUGAACGGACUUCUGUAUUAUUAAGAGCUUGAAAUCAGUACUUCAUUACUACUUGAAAGUUCAGCUGGGGAUGUGGAUUGGAAUGAAAUGUUGUCAAAUGAAGUGGAUUUGGAUGAUGGAUUGGAUUUGAAUUUAGAAUUUCCAACAGAUCGAGGGCAUUUUCCAGAGACAUUAACUAUUUUCAGUUUAAAAAAACAUUAUUUUGUAUGGUCUAUGCAAGCCUUCAAAUGAUUUUGUGUUGUGCUCAAACACAAUGUAUACUGAUGGAAAAAGUAAUCAACGACAUUUUUCUAGUAACUUCUAUUAUGUCAUAACUAAAAUGGGUAGUAAAAUACCCUGAAUUUGGCUAUGUUAUUGUGUUGUUUUACAAAAAACAUAUUGUUAAACUUGUUGGUUGUUUGCUGUUAGAAGAGGCAAUAUGUUUAAGACUAACUGGAUUAAUGGCAUAAAUGAUUGGCAACAUUUAACCCAAAAAGCUAUUGAACACGAAAUAUCUUUACAACACGUAGAGGAAAUGAAAUUAUGAUUACUGUGGGCAAAGAAUAAUACAACAGAAAAAAAAUUAGAACAGCAAUGUGUGCAGAAGCUCAAUUCUGGAGGGAUGUCUUAACAAGACUUAUUCAAAUACUAUUGUUCCUCACUGCAGGUAAUAUAGCUCUCAGAGGAAAUGAAGGUAAAGUAAAUAAUAAUUCAGAAGGUAACUUUUUAUGUACAGUGAAGCUUUUAGCACAAUUUGAUCCUCUAUUAAGUAAGCUUUUAUACACUGAAGAAUCUAAAGUAAAAUAUUUAAGUUGGAAAAUUCAGAAUCAAAUCAUUGAACUGUUAGCUUCAGAAACAAUGAAGAUUUUAUGUGAAGAAAUUAGAAAUGCUUAGUGUUUCACAAUUAUUAUGGACAGCACACAAGAUAUAACAAAACUUGACCAAGCGAGUUUCAUUUUUAGAUAUGUUAAUUAUGACAAACAUACAUUAGAUGUCAUAGAAUCAUUUUUAGGAUUUUAUAAAUUGACAAAACACGGUGUUGAAGAUCAUGUAAAUUUAAUUUAUGAUGUAUUAAAUAAAUGUAAUUUAGACAUAAACAAAUGUCGAGGACAAGGCUACGAUGGUGCUGCAGUUAUGAGUGGUAUGUUCUCUGGUGUUCAGAAACGCAUAUCCAAUAUAGUUCCGAAUGCUUCAUAUGUCCAUUGCUCUGAUCAUAACUUGAAUUUACAAUUGCAUCGGCAGAACGCUCAUCUUCUAAACUAAAAUUAAUAAAAAAUUAUUUACGAAAUUCAAUUUCUCAAGAAAUUCUUUCAAAUAUAAGCAUUUUAAACAUAGAAAAAGCACGGACCAAUGAAUUAAAUAUUGAUCAUAUUAUUACAAAAUUUGCAAAUCAAAA